rnacentral:rRNA from 1 species
GAUGAACGCUGGCGGCGUGCCUAAUACAUGCAAGUCGAGCGAACAGACGAGGAGCUUGCUCCUCUGACGUUAGCGGCGGACGGGUGAGUAACACGUGGAUAACCUACCUAUAAGACUGGGAUAACUUCGGGAAACCGGAGCUAAUACCGGAUAAUAUAUUGAACCGCAUGGUUCAAUAGUGAAAGACGGUUUUGCUGUCACUUAUAGAUGGAUCCGCGCCGCAUUAGCUAGUUGGUAAGGUAACGGCUUACCAAGGCAACGAUGCGUAGCCGACCUGAGAGGGUGAUCGGCCACACUGGAACUGAGACACGGUCCAGACUCCUACGUGAGGCAGCAGUAGGGAAUCUUCCGAAAUGGGCGAAAGCCUGACGGAGCAACGCCGCGUGAAUGAUGAAGGUCUUCGGAUCGUAAAACUCUGUUAUUAGAGAAGAACAAAUGUGUAAAUAACUAUGCACGUCUUGACGGUACCUAGUCAGAAAGCCACGGCUAACUACGUG